rnacentral:rRNA from 1 species
UCCGUAGGCGGGCUAAUAAGUCAGUGGUGAAAUCCCAGAGCUCAACUCUGGAACUGCCAUUGAUACUGUUAGUCUUGAAUUUAGUUGAGGUGGGCGGAAUACGUUAUGUAGCGGUGAAAUGCAUAGAUAUAACGUAGAACACCGAUUGCGAAGGCAGCUCACUAAACUGACAUUGACGCUGAUGGACGAAAGCGUGGGGAGCGAACAGGAUUAGAUACCCUGGUAGUCC